GCCGCUGUGGCGAAAUCGGCAGACGCAGCAGACUUAAAAUCUGCCGGGAGCAAUCCCUUACGGGUUCAAGUCCCGUCAGCGGCACCA
rnacentral:tRNA from 1 species